GAUUGACAAGAUGAUUGCCCACUACAGCAUCAGUGGAUAUACAACUUGUUAUCUUUUUUGAAAAUCACUGUCUGAAAGGUAAGAGAUAAAUUAAAGGCCUUGCUUUCAUGAGUCACAUGCUGUUCUCAGUUCCACUGGUGUAAAUCCUGACUGUUAGACCAAUCUCUUAUAUAUACAAUCUCUUAUAUAUA
rnacentral:lncRNA from 1 species